UUAGCUGUUUCCUGCUUAAAACUUUCACUUCGUAGUUUAUAUUUUUUUCCUUAAGGAUUUUUUAGACUAAAUUGUAGUCAUCUAUAUUACUCAAUAUGACAGGAGGAAGCUUACGUUUAGGAACUUUGUCCGGUUCAGGAUAUUUUGUGACAUUUAGUUCGUUUAGUUGUCCUUUUUUGUUUGUUUUGUCAUUGUUGUCUUUUGCACCUGCAGGACUUGCAACUUUUCUUUUUCGUUUAUUUUGAUCUCAACAUUCAGUUUCUUUCAUUAGCUCUUGCUUGUCCGGAUAAAACUCGUCCUGUUUUGAACAGCUGUUCAAUUUCAGCUGGUAUAUUAAAGGUAGCUAAAUUAAGUAAUUUCAGCUGGUAAUAUUUAAGGUCACAAUUAGCUGCCCUAAGUUCCGAUAUCUCUUUCUUGAGCUCAUGGCAAAGGCUUUCCAAAUUACUAAUAUGAAGGAGCUGCUGAUUCAUAAUUUCUUGUGCUUUAAUUAUUUCACCUGAUGUAACUUCGUUUAUUCUGUUAGCUGGUUUUUGCUGAAUAAUUAUGUUGUUUGAGGUAGUACGUAGCUUAGACUCCUGAAUACUUUUCCUUGGUAAAUGUCCUAUUUUGCCGCUUCGUAGGAACGGAUUCGGUGUAUUCCUGUUUGGUGUACCUUGUUGAUCCUUAUUAGAAGAUGAUUGCAAUAAAUGAUCCUCCCCAGAAUCCGUGGGAUCGGUCUUGUGAGAAGUACAUGAAGUGCGUUACCAAGAGGAGCCCGGCAGAUAACUAUGUUACCUACCUUCGGGGAGGUGAGACCUGGAUUCGUUGACAAAGCUGUUCCAAACAGUAUGGCAUUUCCCAGAAGUACGUUGAGAUCGUUCAUCCUAAAUAUAUGCAAUCCUAGAAAUAGUUUCGUUUAUGAAUGAAAAUAAUUUUAAUAGUGUGGUGGGUAUACAUAGACUAUAUCAGAAACAAUUUUAUAGACUUAGAAAUUCACACAAAAAAAACGUGAACAUUUAAUUUUCUACUUUUCAGCUUUUUAAAUUCUACUUUUUAGUUUUUCGGACGGGACAUUUUUACUUUUCAGUUUUAAAAAAAAAUUACUAAUUACAAAAUAUAUGAAAAUAUUUAAUUAGGUAUAAAAACCAAAAUAUAUUAAAAUUAUAAUUGGCGACUUGAACCAAUAUUCUUUUUAAACAACUAAAAAAUAGAAAUUUCCAUUAAAAAAAUUUAAUAAAAAGCGUUUCUUUGUGUGCAUAUACAUAUUUAUGAAAAAUAAAAACACAAAGACUUUUUAAUAUUUUUGUUAGAAAUAAUAAAUAUGUAUAUAUAUAAUUCAAAAAUUUUACAAAAAUUUAAAAAUAUUCGGUUCAUAUGAUUUGACUUUCAACAUUUUUUUUAAAAGGUAACUGUUCUGCAAUGUUUUUUUUUAUUAUUAAAAGUAUUGACUCCGUUGAUAUGUACACAUCUUGUCAUAGUGUAUGUAGACAUUCACAUAUGCAUAUUUGUUUUUUUUUAUGAACAAAAUAAAUUAUUUACGAAUCGAAGUGAUUUUUUAUUAAAAGUAGCUAACAAAAUUAAUAAAGUUUGUUUAAACUUUAAAUAGUUUGUAAAGUAGCAAUUUUCCAAGUGAGAUAUUCCAGCUCGAAUUCAAUGGUUGAUUGCGUCAUUUAUUGUUAGCUUUCAUUCAUAGAAAUUUGAAAAAACUUCGGAAAUAUAUGGCGCCAAAAAUGGGACUUUUACAAAUUUGGGGAGGCGAAAACUUUCAAGGGGGUGGAGUUGGAAAAAAAUUUUUAUUAGUAUCUAAAAGCUAGAAAAGUUUCAAACUUCUACAACCUAUUUUAUAGAAAACUGAUAUCAAGAACUUGAAGAGGAAAAGGCUUUAGAUAACAGUUAAUUUUAGCAAACAUUUCUUUUUAACAUUCAGUUACGCUGUGCCGCAUUAAAAAAUGUAUGUCCUGUAUUUUUACUAAAUUUUUUAAAUUAUUUAUGUGGCACUUAAAUGAUGUUCUUAAAAAAGUAAAUUUUUCAGCAAAGUUGAAAACAGAAUAUUGAAGAUUAAGAAAUAGCAUCAAGACCUGUUCAAAAUUUAGUUAAAAUAAAAAAAAAUUCUAAUUUAUAUAAAUAAUUUUAAAAAAUAAUAUAAAUAAAUUUAUUAUUUUUUAAAAUUAUUUAAAAAAUAAUAAAUUUAUUUUAAGAUUUUUCAUUUUUAUUUCAAUCUCGUCUUGCUAAAUUUAAAACUCAUAUUUUAUAUGAAUAUGCAUACACACCUGUUAGGUGUAGAUACACCUAGUAGGCAGGGACGGAUCUUUCAUAUAUGCAAAGUAUGCAUUUGCAAUGGGCGAUAAAAAAAAGAGGCGACAUUAAAAACUUAAAAAAAAACCCGAAAUUUAAAAAAAAUUUUUUUAAUGUUUCCUAAUAUUGUUUCUUCCAAAUUUUUUUUAUAUCAAUUUACAGCGAAAUUAAUUUGAUAAAAUGUACCUGUAUACAAACAUAAUAUUUUAUAGAAUGACCCACGCUCGGACCAUGUCCGAUGAAAGAGACAUUUGUUCCCAACUUCGCCAAUUGAUCGGCCUCUUCAUUGCCAGGUUGUUGAAGCAACUCCAGGCUAUCUUCGAGUUAAAAGUUGAUGAUUUCAGUGCCGCUAGAGUAACCUGGCUGUUGCAAACUAUGGAAAUGGAACACUUCCGUGAGCCGUCUCGCAAGCAGCGCACAGCACAUGACCCGAUGGCGAAGACCUCCGCCUGAAAACGAAGGGAGCUUCGUCUAAAGGCGUAUAGAACCUAUAGUUGCGGCCGUAUACACCAGCACCCUUGUCGCGAUCACCUUUAGAGAUAUCCGUGUGCCACACGGACGCCUGAUCCGGCUAGGAGCCUGUAAUUGCCUCGAUGGACUCCAGUCAGGUAUUAUUACCCGAAAGUUCCUCUUGCAUUUAAUCGUCUUGAUUUGGAUGACCCACAAAAAUUUGAUGUUUUCAGCCAUCAGGACAGGAAUGCCGCCCAAUUUCGGUGUCACGUCCCUCCUGUUGGUGAAAAGUACACACUUUAGUUUUUGCGGAUUCACAUUUAAAUCCGCGCCCUUACACUAGCCCUCGACUAGAGCCAGGGCCAGUUGAGUGCGCUCCGACACUGUAGUUUCGAAUUUGCCGCGGAGCAUCAAGACCAGGUCGCCAGUAUAGCUAAUGUAUCCGAAUUCUGAUCGCUCCAAUUUCAGAAGCAGCUGGUCCAUAACCAGAAGCCACAAAAGUGGGGAAAGAGCCUCACCUUGUGGGUAGCCCCUUGUGGCCGUGACCAUCAAGGAGUCAGUAGCAAUUACCGCUUCGAUCCUUCUACCACUGAGCGUGCCACUUGUUCAACAAAUAAUGGAGGAGCAGAUGCCCCUCGACGUCAUCGCUUGCUCAAUGAUUUUUAAAUCGCUUGCUGAUUUCUAAAGCUAACACCUUUUCCAUAGCCUUUAGUAGAAAAGAUGUUCAGCUGAUAGGCUUAUAUGAUUCAGCCUCGGCUAUGUCUCUUCGGAAAGUACCCUGGGACCAGACUUUCCCUGAACAUAUUUGUUAUAUGUAGCAGAAGAACAUCCUUUGCAGAAAUGCCGGGUAUACAACAUCGUCGUCGAGACUCUUGUAAGGGCCAAACGAAUUAAUUGCCCAGUCUACCCUUCCUUUGGUGAAAAUAAUCUUUGCGCCCUUGUAAGCAAAUAUCAACUAAAAUAAAUAAAACAUAAAUAUUGCUGAUGGGCAAAUAACAUAAUAUAGAUGAUAACAAUUAAUGUAAAAACUUUCCCAAAAUAAUUAGGAAUGUUGUUAAUCUUGAAAAAAUAAAUAAAAGAAUGUAACUUAGGAAAUUUUCUGAAGGUCAUUUUGUAAAAAUAAUAUUGUUAAUCUGGUUAAUCAAAUAGUAGAAAUUAUUUUAAAACUUUCCAUUUGAUUUUAAAAGUAAUUAAUCUGGUUUUAAUUCAAAAGUAAUAAUUGAUAAUUAUAAGUAAACAUAU